rnacentral:tRNA from 1 species
AGAGAAUAGUUUAUUUAAAAUUUUAAUUUUGGAGAUUAAAGAUGGAAGUAUUUUCUUUCUCUGA